rnacentral:lncRNA from 1 species
AUCUUCUUCAUUUUCAGUAUCACUCUAAUACCAAGUGUCACGUAUGAAGGGAUCUCAGAGCAAAUUCCAAUAAUGUGCUGCUCGAUCUACUCUUCACAGGGCUGAAAAGAACAGAUCAGCCUCCUUAGCAUGAGAACCUUGUCUCUAUGACUUAGGCCACACUCAACAAUAAUACAAUGGAAUACGACACCAGGAAACACCACGAAGAAGAAGAAAUAAAAGAGAAGAGAACUUUUAUUAAAUAAUCUCUCACCAGAUUACAAUAGAAGCUCUCCUGAUCCCUCGAUCUCUCACAGAUACAAGAAGAUCUCUAGAUGAUCUCUCCCUCGAUGAUCACUCUAACCCCACCCUUAAGGGUCCUUUUAUAGAAGAGCAAUCUCAAGUUACAAAGUUCCUC